rnacentral:rRNA from 1 species
GACGAACGCUGGCGGCGCGCCUAACACAUGCAAGUCGAACGAGCGAGAGAGAGCUUGCUUUCUCGAGCGAGUGGCGAACGGGUGAGUAACGCGUGAGGAACCUGCCUCAAAGAGGGGGACAACAGUUGGAAACGACUGCUAAUACCGCAUAAGCCCACGACCCGGCAUCGGGUAGAGGGAAAAGGAACAAUCCGCUUUGAGAUGGCCUCGCGUCCGAUUAGCUAGUUGGUGAGGUAACGGCCCACCAAGGCGACGAUCGGUAGCCGGACUGAGAGGUUGAACGGCCACAUUGGGACUGAGACACGGCCCAGACUCCUACGGGAGGCAGCAGUGGGGAAUAUUGCACAAUGGGGGAAACCCUGAUGCAGCGACGCCGCGUGGAGGAAGAAGGCUUUCGGGUUGUAAACUUCUUUGUCAGGGACGAGUAGAAGACGGUACCUGACGAAUAAGCCACGGCUAACUACGUG